rnacentral:rRNA from 1 species
UACGUAGGGGGCAAGCGUUGUCCGGAUUUAUUGGGCGUAAAGAGCGUGUAGGCGGCCAUGUAGGUCCGUUGUGAAAACUCGAGGCUCAACCUCGAGACGCCGAUGGAAACCAUGUGGCUAGAGUCCGGAAGAGGAGAGUGGAAUUCCUGGUGUAGCGGUGAAAUGCGUAGAUAUCGGAAGGAACACCAGUGGCGAAAGCGGCUUCCUGGUCCAGCACCGACGUUCAGGCACGAAAGCGUGGGGAGCAAACAGG